GAGGUUAAGCGACUAAGCGUACACGGUGGAUGCCCUGGCAGUCAGAGGCGAUGAAGGACGUGCUAAUCUGCGAUAAGCGCCGGUAAGGUGAUAUGAACCGUUAUAACCGGCGAUUUCCGAAUGGGGAAACCCAGUGUGACUCGUCACACUAUCAUUAACUGAAUCCAUAGGUUAAUGAGGCGAACCGGGGGAACUGAAACAUCUAAGUACCCCGAGGAAAAGAAAUCAACCGAGAUUCCCCCAGUAGCGGCGAGCGAACGGGGAGGAGCCCAGAGCCUGAAUCAGCAUGUGUGUUAGUGGAAGCGUCUGGAAAGGCGCGCGAUACAGGGUGACAGCCCCGUACACAAAAGCGCAUGUGCUGUGAGCUCGAUGAGUAGGGCGGGACACGU
rnacentral:rRNA from 1 species